rnacentral:rRNA from 1 species
AUUGAACGCUGGCGGCAGGCCUAACACAUGCAAGUCGAACGGGUGGCGGACGUGAGAGUUAUGUAUGGGACUGUGCCUGGUGGAGAGGGAUAGCUACUGGAAGCUGUAGCUAAUUCCCCUUACCAUCGGCUGUGCCCAGAUGGGAUAAGCGAGGAGGUGGGGUAAAGGCGCACCGAGGCGACGAUCCCUAGCUGGUCUGUGAGGAUGCACAGCCACACUGGAACUGAGACACGGUCCAGACUCCUACGGGAGGCAGCAGUGGGGAAUAUUGCACAAUGGGCGCAAGCCUGAUGCAGCCAUGCCGCGUGUAUGAAGAAGGCCUUAGGGUUGUAAAGUACUUUCAGCCGGGAGGCGUUACCGACAGAAGAAGCACCGGCUAACUCCGUGCCAGCAGCCGCGGUAAUUC